rnacentral:rRNA from 1 species
UACGUAGGGUGCGAGCGUUAAUCGGAAUUACUGGGCGUAAAGAGUGCGUAGGCGGUUCUUUGUGUCCGCUGUGAAAGCCCCGGGCUUAACCUGGGAAUGGCAGUGGAAACUAGAGAACUUGAAUCUGGCAGAGGGGGGUGGAAUGCCACGGUGUAGCAGUGAAAUGCGUAGAUAUGUGGCGGAACACCGAUGGCGAAGGC